CAAUAAUCAAUAUUUAUAUUGAUUAAUUAAUCAAUAUUUUGACUAAUUUAAUUAUCUGAUUGUUAUUAACUAAUUAAUUUAUUAAUUUAUUAAAUUACUUGUGAUCAAUUAAAUUAUUAAUUACUAAUUAAUUUAUAAUUAACAUUUAGCGUUAUUUAGCAAUAUUCAUGAUUAAUUAGUAUAAUAUUAAAUAAGUUGAAUUAUUAUUUAAUCAAUAUUUUUUAUUAAUUAAUUAGAUAAGAUAUUAUUAUAUUAAAAGUAUAAUUAUUUUUAUUCUUACUUUUUCAAUUUAACUAUCCAAAUGCUAUUUUGCUUAUUUCCGAAAAAAGUUUAUUUUUCAUUCAAAUGCAAAAUUAAUUUUAUUUUUAUUUAUCUUAAUAGCUGCAUCUAUUUUAGUGGUAGCCUAAAAUAGCUAAUUUUCGAACCAAACGAUAACUAGGUCAAUUUAUUAAGUAUUUCGAACAGUUCGAGCUUAUGAUAUGACAGUUUGGAUGCUAACUCAUCUUGAAUGAUUGAUUAGAAGU
rnacentral:lncRNA from 1 species